GGAAACGGGGAUGGAGACAGAAGUUAAAAGAAAUAAUUAAAUAAGAAGAAAAAGCUAAAGAAAUUUGACUUGUGAGAAGUGAAAACACAGUCUGAGAUCCACCGUCUCCUCCAUCAAGCCGCUGCCUCCUUCCUUCGUAUUGCUGCCGCACGCCUCCCUCAACACCACCAACACUCUCCUCGAUCUCACCUUCUUUCGAUCUCUCCCCAAACUCUCUCAGGCAACGAAAUAGUACACCGCCGGCGACCAAACCCUCCAUGUUCCCUUAGCUCCGGUUUCUGUUUUUCCGGCAACCGGCGUUAGACAUCCUAACCAUUUCCGACUGUUUAAGGUCACCACAGUCUCGAUCUACCAUUGCAUAUGCUUUUCUCAACCCAUUUGUUGCGGCUAGGGUUUCAAGCAGCGAUGGAGCAGUUGUACUGUUAGCACGGUGGUUUCAAGUGUGUUUUGGCAUUUGCAGUGGAUUCCGGCAGAACCGUCAAGAGAUCCUCGGAUAUGUGUUAGUCAGUGGCCGGCAUGAUCUUUUAUUCUGGUCGUCAACAACUCAAUGGCAAAGGACAUCAUUGUAAUUUUAUAAGAAAGGGCAUCAUUGUAAUUUUCAUUUUAAGAUUAUAUAAAUAUGCCUUCAAAAUCUUGAUAGAAAA